rnacentral:rRNA from 1 species
GACAGAGGGGGCAAGCGUUGCUCGGAAUUACUGGGCGUAAAGGGCGCGUAGGCGGGAUGGCAAGUCGGUCGUGAAAUCCUUCGGCUCAACCGAAGAACGUCGAUCGAUACUGCUGUUCUUGAGGGUUGCAGAGGAGACUGGAAUUCCCGGUGUAGCGGUGAAAUGUGUAGAGAUCGGGAGGAACACCAGAGGCGAAGGCGGCGACCUGGACAAGUAUUGACACUGAACUACGAAAGCGUGGGGAGCAAACAGG